rnacentral:rRNA from 1 species
UGGGUAACACUAACUGGAGGACCGAACCGACUAAUGUUGAAAAAUUAGCGGAUGACUUGUGGCUGGGGGGGAAAGGCCAAUCAAACCGGGAGAUAGCUGGUUCUCCCCGAAAGCUAUUUAGGUAGCGCCUCGUGAAUUCAUCUCCGGGGGUAGAGCACUGUUUCGGCAAGGGGGUCAUCCCGACUUACCAACCCGAUGCAAACUGCGAAUACCGGAGAAUGUUAUCACGGGAGACACACGGCGGGUGCUAACGUCCGUCGUGAAGAGGGAAACAACCCAGACCGCCAGCUAAGGUCCCAAAGUCAUGGUUAAGUGGGAAACGAUGUGGGAAGGCCCAGACAGCCAGGAUGUUGGCUUAGAAGCAGCCAUCAUUUAAAGAAAGCGUAAUAGCUCACUGGUCGAGUCGGCCUGCGCGGAAGAUGUAACGGGGCUAAACCAUGCACCGAAGCUGCGGCAGCGACGCUGAUGCGUUGUUGGGUAGGGGAGCGUUCUGUAAGCCUGUGAAGGUGUGCUGUGAGGCAUGCUGGAGGUAUCAGAAGUGCGAAUGCUGACAUAAGUAACGAUAAAGCGGGUGAAAAGCCCGCUCGCCGGAAGACCAA